rnacentral:rRNA from 1 species
AGUGAACGCUGGCGGUAGGCCUAACACAUGCAAGUCGAACGGCAGCACAGUAAGAGCUUGCUCUUACGGGUGGCGAGUGGCGGACGGGUGAGGAAUACAUCGGAAUCUACUUUUUCGUGGGGGAUAACGUAGGGAAACUUACGCUAAUACCGCAUACGACCUACGGGUGAAAGCAGGGGAUCUUCGGACCUUGCGCGAUUGAAUGAGCCGAUGUCGGAUUAGCUAGUUGGCGGGGUAAAGGCCCACCAAGGCGACGAUCCGUAGCUGGUCUGAGAGGAUGGUCGGCCACACUGGAACUGAGACGCGGACCAGACUACUACGGGAGGCAGCAGUAGGGAAUCGUCCGCAAUGGGCGAAAGCCUGACGGAGCAACGGCGAGUGAGUGAUGAAGGUCUUCGGAUCGUAAAACUCUCUUAGGAGGGAAAAACAAAUGUGGACGUAACUAUGCACGUCUUGACGGUACCUAAUAAGAAAGCCACGGCUAACUACGUG